GACGAACGCUGGCGGCGCGUCUUAAGCAUGCAAGUCGAACGGCAAGAGAGAAGCUUGCUUCUCUCCUAGAGUGGCGGACUGGUGAGGAACACGUGGGUAAUCUGCCCUUAAGAUGGGGAUAGCUGCUAGAAAUAGCAGGUAAUACCGAAUACACUCGGCGCUUCAUAAGAGGUGUUGAGGAAAGGAAGCUAUGGCUUCGCUUGAGGAUGAGCUUGCGUCCCAUUAGCUAGUUGGUGAGGUAAAGGCUCACCAAGGCGACGAUGGGUAUCCGGCCUGAGAGGGUGAUCGGACACAUUGGGACUGAGAUACGGUCCAAACUCCUACGGGAGGCAGCAGCUAAGAAUAUUCCGCAAUGGACGGAAGUCUGACAGAGCGACGCCGCGUGGAUGAAGAAGGCUGAAAAGUUGUAAAAUCCUUUUGUUGAUGAAGAAUAAGGGUGAGAGGGAAUGCUCAUCUGAUGACGGUAAUCGACGAAUAAGCCCCGGCUAAUUACGUGCCAGCAGCCGCGGUAACACGUAAGGGGCGAGCGUUGUUCGGAAUUAUUGGGCGUAAAGGGCAUGUAGGCGGUUGUGUAAGCCUGGUGUGAAAUCCUGGGGCUUAACCCCAGAAUAGCAUUGGGUACUGCACGACUUGAAUUACGGAAGGGAAACUGGAAUUCCAAGUGUAGGGGUGGAAUCUGUAGAUAUUUGGAAGAACACCGGUGGCGAAGGCGGGUUUCUGGCUGAUAAUUGACGCUGAGAUGCGAAAGUGUGGGGAUCGAACAGG
rnacentral:rRNA from 1 species